rnacentral:ncRNA from 1 species
UACCUGAUUGAUUCUGUCAGCGCGAUAUGCUCAAGUAAAAGAUUAAGCCAUGCAUGCUUUGAUUCAUAAAUGAAAUUGCGUACGGCUCAUUAGAGCAGAUAUCACCUUUCUCGGAAUCCUGAAAAGGAUAACUGCGGAAAUUCUGGAGCUAAUACAUGCGACUAUACUCCAACGCAAGGCGGGGUGCAAUUAUUAGAACAGACCAAACGUUUUCGGACGUUGUUUGUUGACUCUGAAUACCGUCGUUUACUGUCAGUUUCGACUGACUCUAUCCGAGAAGGGUGUCUGCCCUUUCAACUAGAUGGUAAUCUAUUGGACUACCAUGGUUGUUACGGGUAACGGAGAAUUAGGGUUCGACUCCGGAGAGGGAGCCUUAGAAACGGCUACCACGUCCAAGGAAGGCAGCAGGCGCGAAACUUAUCCACUGUUGAGUAUGAGAUAGUGACUAAAAAUAUAAAGACUCAUCCUUUUGGAUGAGUUAUUUCAAUGAGUUGAAUAUAAAUUAUUCUUCGAGUAGCAAGGAGAGGGCAAGUCUGGUGCCAGCAGCCGCGGUAAUUCCAGCUCUCCUAGUGUAUCUCGUUAUUGCUGCGGUUAAAAAGCUCGUAGUUGGAUCUAGGUUACGUGCCGCAGUUCGCAAUUUGCGUUAACUGUGGUCGUGACUUCUAAUUUGCUGGUUUGAGGUUGGGUUCGCCCUUCAACUGCCAGCAGGUUUACCUUGAAUAAAUCAGAGUGCUCAAUACAGGCGCUUGCUUGAAUAGCUCAUCAUGGAAUAAUGAAACAGGACUUCGGUUCUUUUUGUUGGUUCUAGAAUUGAUCUAAUGGUUAAGAGGGACAAACCGGGGGCAUUCGUAUCAUUACGCGAGAGGUGAAAUUCGUGGACCGUAGUGAGACGCCCAAUAGCGAAAGCAUUUGCCAAGAAUGUCUUCAUUAAUCAAGAACGAAAGUCAGAGGUUCGAACGCGAUUAGAUACCGCCCUAGUUCUGACCGUAAACGAUGCCAUCUCGCGAUUCGGAGGGUUCAUGCCCUACCGAGGAACUACCCGG